UUGUCAGACUAUAAAUAUAGCCACAAUCUGAAUAAAUUUCAUCAAAUUCAUUACAGCAAAUUGAAACCGCUAAGCAGACAUGGUGACAAACACAAUGAGAUGGUCUGUUUUUUUUUCGCUCUUUUACUUGAUGUUUGUUUGUACAACCAGUGGAAAGCCCACCAGCAAAAUCACGAAUGAAGAGACACCUUGCUGGAACCAAGUGGAAGCACUCAAAGCGGAAUUUGGUGGAGAAACUCCCGCAGAUUUUACCUUUCCAAGGUGCGACAAGAAUGGCUAUUAUGUACGCAUCCAGUGUCGUGCAUUUCUUGGCUGUCAUUGUGUUGAUAAAUAUGGGCAAAGGACAACGCAAGUAUUCAAAGGAUGGUCAAGUGGUUGCAAAUAACUAAAAUUUCAAUUUUGUUUAACUGUUUAUCUAAAUCAUAAAAUAACUCAUUAAGAAUUUUUCAGAUUGACGUGUGGUAUUGGGUGAUAUAGCAAUAUUUGGUUGUAGUAGAAUAUUAUAUUGCAUGCUUCAAUAGUUGACGAAACUUUGAUUGCAAUUAGACAUGCAAAUUUAUUAUAAGAGUAUAAUACACCAGAA